rnacentral:rRNA from 1 species
CCUACGGUGGACUGCAGUCGAGAAUCAUUCACAAUGGGGGAAACCCUGAUGGUGCGACGCCGCGUGGGGGAAUGAAGGUCUUCGGAUUGUAAACCCCUGUCAUGUGGGAGCAAAUUAAAAAGAUAGUACCACAAGAGGAAGAGACGGCUAACUCUGUGCCAGCAGCCGCGGUAAUACAGAGGUCUCAAGCGUUGUUCGGAAUCACUGGGCGUAAAGCGUGCGUAGGCUGUUUCGUAAGUCGUGUGUGAAAGGCGCGGGCUCAACCCGCGGACGGCACUGGAUACUUGCGAGCUAGAAUGCGGUAGAGGUAAAGGGAAUUCCUGGUGUAGCGGGGAAAUGCUUAGAUAUCAGGAGGAACAUCGGUGGCGUAAGCGCUUUACUGGGCCGUAAUUGACGCUGAGGAACGAAAGCCAGGGUAGCAAAUGGGAUUAGAUACCCUAGUAGUC